rnacentral:lncRNA from 1 species
CAAAGCUUCAUUCGAUGUGAUUAGGUUGUGUGUAUAUGUAUUUGAAGUGAGAAGACGAAAGUAUCAACACAAUUAGGCUCUUAGCAAGCCAUUUCAAAGAGGAACUACGAGAGAGAUGCAUAGAAUUCAAAGAAAUCGAGUUUGAUUUGAAUCAAAAGAUUCACAGCAGUGUACAUGUAUCAAGUAUGUAUAUAAACUUAUAUGCAUGUUUAUAUGAAGAGAGAGAGAAACGGGGGGGAGGAGUUUGAUUGAAUCACGAAAUUAUUAGCGAUGC